rnacentral:rRNA from 1 species
AUUGAACGCUGGCGGCAGGCCUAACACAUGCAAGUCGAACGGUAACAGGAAACAGCUUGCUGUUUCGCUGACGAGUGGCGGACGGGUGAGUAAUGUCUGGGAAACUGCCUGAUGGAGGGGGAUAACUACUGGAAACGGUAGCUAAUACCGCAUAACGUCGCAAGACCAAAGAGGGGGACCUUCGGGCCUCUUGCCAUCGGAUGUGCCCAGAUGGGAUUAGCUAGUAGGUGGGGUAACGGCUCGCCUAGGCGACGAUCCCUAGCUGGUCUGAGAGGAUGACCAGCCACACUGGAACUGAGACACGGUCCAGACUCCUACGGGAGGCAGCAGUGGGGAAUAUUGCACAAUGGGCGCAAGCCUGAUGCAGCCAUGCCGCGUGUAUGAAGAAGGCCUUCGGGUCGUAAAGUACUUUCAGCGGGGAGGAAGGGAGUAAAGUUAAUACCUUUGCUCAUUGACGUUACCCGCAGAAGAAGCACCGGCUAACUCCG